GUGCUUAUCGUGCAGCAUAUGUCUUUUAUAUGAUAAGGUCGAUUAGUGGUCGAAGAUUCGUGUGCGAGUGACUGUGCGUGCGACACUUCAGGAAUGCUACGCAGACGUGGCCAUUAGUUGAUGUGUCUUGAGGGAAGCUGGUGGAUGGAGAACAUCGACAUCAUGCCAACAACUGCUGCUGAAAGGAAUAAAGACAUGCAUAUUUAAUAUGGAAGCAUAUGGUUGUCAUCGGAGGAGGUCAGCGCUUGAGGCGAAGCUGAGGCUUCUUCCUGUGGGCUAUGCAUCUGCCCUCCACUCGUUGGACGUUGGGAUUGACAAGAAGUGAGACUCUUGUACUCAAGGAUGACGAUCAGAGGUGCGUAUAGUUUUCCAACAAUCCACCCGCUUCCUGAGCUUCUCUUCUGAACUCCUAAGAUUCAUUCAUCAGUGAUCUCAAAACAAGCUCACUUGGUUGCCGACUGCCACAGCAGAUGGAUUAAAAAAAAGAAUCUGGCUUUGGAUCUUUUCUGACACACCUCAGAUGUUGAUUUCUUCACUGUCUGGACAACCUCUAGCUUCCAAAUAUUCAAUUUAUAGAUAAUGACAUUUUGCAAAAAUAUCUUCAGCUGUCUGCUGGAGACAGGAUUGACCUUUCAAAUGAAUACAUCUUCUUGGACGGUUGAUAGAUUUAUUUGUCGUGCAAAAUGCCAACGGCGGUGCUUCCGUGGUUAUUCUGAUUGGCUGAGAGAGGUUCAUCUGGGCCGACUCGUCAGCCUUCCAGGGAUAUUGCCUGACGUGCACUCUGCACUCGAUAGAACCCAAAGAGACCGAUGAAAGAUUGCUUUCCUACCUGCUCUCAACAAUCAUCAGUGAAUUCGCAGUGAUGUUGGUUAUACUUUGAAAGUUUAUUACGUAGAGGAAUGGGGAAAAAAGUGUCAGUAAAGUUUUUUUUUUUUUUUUACAAAGCUGCAAUUUUUGGUCCAUAAAUUGAAUACGGUGCAAAACAGGAAAAAAAAAUGAGUACAGCAUGACUGCCCUCCCAUGUGUUAUUUAUAGCAUAGUUAGUGUCAACUGUUGUUAAAAAAAAAACAAAAAAACUGAAUGUCAAACACACACACGGGAAGAGAGAUGUUUGCCAAAUGAUUAAUAAUUUAGCAGUGAGGGUCAAACAAUAUCAGACCCCUCCUCUUAAAUGUCAGGAAGUGGUUUUGACCUCACAAUUGCAGCAGAAUGGAAGCUGAACGCGAUGGGAACGAUGAGCAAUUCGCUUAUCGGCCGACUCUGAGCAAUUAUGAUUGAUUAUAACUCCCGCGAGCCAUUCAUGCAGCCGACUCCUCUGUGCACAAAAUUGGUUCUUGGCUCUGGGCGGAUGCUCGUGUCACACAGGAACACUUGAAAGCUGUUUUUUUUUUUUUUUUCUUCCCCAGUGCUGUAAUGUCAGGUUACUCUCCUUGAGUUUUAGUCUUUUUUCAAAGUGACUUGUGAAACUUGACUUGAAAAAAGGAGUGAACAUCUUUGAGAUUUAUAGAGUGUAAAGCCGUGAAAGAUGAUUGGCUGUUUUUUUUCUUUUCUUUUCAUUCUUCAACAAAGACUACCCAAAAUUGCCCCUGUGCUGUGUGCGCAAAGAAAAGAAGUGUGAAACAAACAGCAGGCUGUUAUUUUCUCUAGUUGCUUUGUUAAAUGCGACACGGGGUGUCUUGAACCCGUGCUGAGUGCAAAAACCUUUUAAGACUUGGAAGGCAUUGCGGGAAAAAAGAAAUUGAGCUGCCAUCGGUCGCACUUGCAGGUUGUUAUUA